rnacentral:rRNA from 1 species
CCUACGGGGGGCAGCAGUGGGGAAUAUUGCACAAUGGGGGAAACCCUGAUGCAGCGACGCCGCGUGAGUGAAGAAGUAUUUCGGUAUGUAAAGCUCUAUCAGCAGGGAAGAAAUAGCGACCUUUGGGUCGCCAGACGGUACCUGAUUAAGAAGCCCCGGCUAACUACGUGCCAGCAGCCGCGGUAAUACGUAGGGGGCAAGCGUUAUCCGGAUUUACUGGGUGGAAAGGGAGCGUAGACGGCAGCGCAAGUCUGAGGUGAAAUGGAGGGGCUUAACCCCGGAACUGCUUUGGAAACUGUGCAGCUAGAGUGCAGGAGAGGUAAGUGGAAUUCCUGGUGUAGCGGUGAAAUGCGUAGAUAUUAGGCGGAACACCAGUGGCGAAGGCAGCAUACCGGCGCUCAACUGACGCUGAGGCACGAAAGCGUGGGGAUCGAACAGGAUUAGAUACCCCGGUAGUC